UCUGAUAUCCAUUAUACAAAAAAGAGCAUAUUUAUGUGCAUGUAUAAAUUGCACAGUAUGCAACCAAAAAUAUACAUAUAUGUUUUACAUGUAUGUGUUUCUAUAUGCCGUUUGACAUGGGAGAUGAGGGAUGCUAUACAUAGUUCUGUUAUUUUCUAUCAUGUAUGUGUAUUAGAGUGUCUGUGUUAAUAUACUUUUUAAUGCAUGCUCUACAUAAUAUACAGUAGUAAUAACACAGAGAAUACGUAUGGAAUGCGUAUCUCUC
rnacentral:rRNA from 1 species